UGAGGAAUAUUGCGCAAUGGGGGCAACCCUGACGCAGCGACGCCGCGUGAGUGAGGAAGGCCUUCGGGUCGUAAAGCUCUGUCAAAGGGAAAGAAAUGUAUAAUGGCUAAUACCUGUUAUAUUUGACGGUACCCUUAAAGGAAGCACCGGCUAACUCCGUGCCAGCAGCCGCGGUAAUACGGAGGGUGCAAGCGUUGUUCGGAAUCACUGGGCGUAAAGGGCGCGCAGGCGGUUUGGUAAGUCAGAUGUGAAAGCCCACGGCUUAACCGUGGAAGUGCAUUUGAAACUGCCAGACUUGAGUACCAGAGGGGAAAGUGGAAUUCCCGGUGUAGAGGUGAAAUUCGUAGAUAUCGGGAGGAAUACCGGUGGCGAAGGCGACUUUCUGGCUGGAUACUGACGCUGAGGCGCGAAAGCGUGGGGAGCAAACA
rnacentral:rRNA from 2 species